UGCUACAAAAAUAUUGUGUGAAAUAUUCAGUUCACAUUUAUUUCUCACUGGGUCGAAAAGCAAAUGAAAAAUACACAAAAUACACUUUUUUUUGUUUGACAUUUUGAAAUGGCUUCUCAGUUUGCUCAUCUGGGAACGCCACUACCACAACAGUUAAAUGAUUAAUAAUAACGUUGGGUUUCCAUAAUGGAAAACACUACCCUACACUCCUACUCAUGGCUACAUUUGUUUAAUCGUUUCUUUAACAUGGCAUCCCCUACUGAUGGUGGAAUUUGUUGAAUCGUUUAUUUAACAUUGCAUCCUGCUCGCAUCCAACAGCGCGCUACCAAAUUCUACACGGGAUGGACACCCACAUAGACUUCCACAUAGAGGACUACAUCUUCCUUUGCGGCUGGACCGCAAAGCUAGAGGAUACAAUACAACUUUUAUGAAAUGCGUUCUUGUUAUCAAUAAAUAAAAUAGCAUUUA